AUUGAACGCUGGCGGCAUGCCUUACACAUGCAAGUCGAACGGCAGCACGGGAGCAAUCCUGGUGGCGAGUGGCGAACGGGUGAGUAAUGUAUCGGAACGUGCCCAGUCGUGGGGGAUAACGCAGCGAAAGUUGUGCUAAUACCGCAUACGAUCUAUGGAUGAAAGCGGGGGACCGCAAGACCUCGCGCGAUUGGAGCGGCCGAUAUCAGAUUAGGUAGUUGGUGGGGUAAAGGCUCACCAAGCCGACGAUCUGUAGCUGGUCUGAGAGGACGAACAGCCACACUGGAACUGGGACACGGUCCAGACUCCUACGGGAGGCAGCAGUGGGGAAUUUUGGACCAUGGGCGCAAGCCUGAUCCAGCAAUGCCGCGUGCAGGAUGAAGGCCUUCGGGUUGUAAACUGCUUUUGUACGGAACGAAAAGGCUCUGGAUAAUACCUGGGGCUCAUGACGGUACCGUAAGAAUAAGCACCGGCUAACUACGUGCCAGCCGCCGCGGUAAAAC
rnacentral:rRNA from 1 species